rnacentral:sRNA from 1 species
CUGGCGAUCCGCGCCGUCGGCGACGACGGCGCCGU